rnacentral:lncRNA from 1 species
GGUGACUUCUGAGCUACUGACCAAGCCUACUUUGGUUUCUAUCUACCCUGGCGUGCGAGGAUGCUGGGGAUCCUGCUCAGAGCAGGCAGCAGGCUCGGAAAAGCAGCAUCCCCUCGGAUGAGGACAGGUGAAGGGAGAUGCUCUCGUUGGCAGAGAUGAAGAUCACGGAGCCCCGGCGCAGGGUCAUUUCAGACGCAGCAGCUGUAGAGGUGCCCAUGGCCGUACCUUGGAUCACCAGCAGGAUACUGGCAGAGUCCAGUGCAGAGAUGAGGUAGAGCUUGAUUGAGGAGGGAAUCUCUAUCCUCAUCAGCGUGAAGUCAGGCACAGGUGGGUCGUAGAUGAAGACGCAGGGGUCCAGCGGGCUCUGCACAGCCGGGAAGAUCUUGGAGCUGCUGGGUGCUGGCGUGUAGUUGAGCAUCUCACAGAGCGUGAGCACGUCAAUGAAUUUGGGGGUGAGGCCGGCAC